UACGAAGGGGGCUAGCGUUGCUCGGAAUCACUGGGCGUAAAGGGUGCGUAGGCGGGUUUUUAAGUCAGAGGUGAAAUCCUGGAGCUCAACUCCAGAACUGCCUUUGAUACUGGGAAUCUUGAGUAUGGAAGAGGUGAGUGGAACUGCGAGUGUAGAGGUGAAAUUCGUAGAUAUUCGGAAGAACACCAGUGGCGAAGGCGGCUCACUGGCCCGGUACUGACGCUGAGGUGCGAAAGCGUGGGGAGCAAACAGG
rnacentral:rRNA from 1 species